GUACGGGAGGCAGCAGUGGGGAAUUUUGCGCAAUGGGCGAAAGCCUGACGCAGCGACGCCGCGUGGAGGAUGAAGGUCUUCGGAUUGUAAACUCCUUUUAUAGGGGAAAAUAAUGAUGGUACCCUAUGAAUAAGCCACGGCUAACUCUGUGCCAGCAGCCGCGGUAAGACAGAGGUGGCAAGCGUUGUUCGGAAUUACUGGGCUUAAAGGGCGCGUAGGUGGUGAUAUAAGUCCGGGGUGGAAGACUGGGGCUUAACCUCAGAAUUGCCUUGGAUACUGUAUGACUUGAGUCAGCGAGGGGAUGGCGGAAUUCCAGGUGUAGCGGUGAAAUGCGUAGAUAUCUGGAGGAAGGCCGGUGGCGAAGGCGGCCAUCUGGCGCUGAACUGACACUGAGGCGCGAAAGCGUGGGGAGCAAACAGGAUUAGAUACCCGUGUAGUCCG
rnacentral:rRNA from 1 species